rnacentral:lncRNA from 10 species
UUUCUUGCUUUUUGUUUUUGAGAUGGGGUCUCGCUCUGUCGCCCAGGCUCUGGAGUGCAGUGGUGUGAUCACGGCUCACUGCAACCUUGACCCCUGGAGCUCAGCUGGGGUUUCACCGUGUCGCCCAGGCUAUCUUCAAACUCUUGGACUCAAGGGAUCUACCCACCUCGGCUGCCCAAAGUGUUGGGAUUACAGUGGUGAGGACUGACAGCUUCUGCAGAAAGCCUUCAUGCCUGCAGGAGCUACAGAACAGGGCAGGGAAGAGAGAAGGAGGAUGGGAGCAAGGUGAACUCUUAUGGGCACCCACAAGCUCCCCACCUCUACCCUGGCCCAUCACCAAUGUACCCAAUCCCCACCCAGGACUCAGCAGGAUACAAUCGCCCAGCACACCAUAUGGUCCCUCGGCCAUCAGUGCCACCUCCUGGUGCCAAUGAGGAGAUCCCUGAUGACUUCGACUGGGACUUGAUCACUUAGUGCAUCACAGAGUGUGGACAUCAGCCCAGGGCCGCGUGGUGAAAUCUGGCAGUGGGGAAAGAGCAACCCCAGCCCGUCCCUUCCCCCCGUCUGUAUAUAGACAUAUAUCCUCUUUUUGUUCUUUCUCUGUCAGAGAAGCCACUGCAAGAUGCUGCCGAAGAUA